rnacentral:rRNA from 1 species
CCCUGAUGCAGCCAUGCCGCGUGUGUGAAGAAGGCCUUCGGGUUGUAAAGCACUUUCAGUUGUGAGGAAAGUUUGUCGGUUAAUACCCGAUAGAUGUGACGUUAGCAACAGAAGAAGGACCGGCUAACUCCGUGCCAGCAGCCGCGGUAAUA